rnacentral:rRNA from 1 species
GUCGAACGAACCCCUUCGGGGGUUAGUGGCGCACGGGUGCGUAACGCGUGGGAACCUGCCUUUAGGUUCGGAAUAACAGUUAGAAAUGACUGCUAAUACCGGAUAAUGUCUUCGGACCAAAGAUUUAUCGCCUUUAGAUGGGCCCGCGUUAGAUUAGAUAGUUGGUGGGGUAAUGGCCUACCAAGUCGACGAUCUAUAGCUGGUCUGAGAGGAUGAUCAGCCACACUGGGACUGAGACACGGCCCAGACCCCUACGGGAGGCAGCAGUGGGGAAUAUUGGACAAUGGGGGGAACCCUGAUCCAGCCAUGCCGCGUGUGUGAAGAAGGCCUUAUGGUUGUAAAGCACUUUAAGCGAGGAGGAGGCUACUAGUAUUAAUACUACUGGAUAGUGGACGUUACUCGCAGAAUAAGCACCGGCUAACUCUGUGCCAGCAGCCGCGGUAAU